rnacentral:tRNA from 1 species
GGGGUUGUGGCUCAGUGGUAGAGCACUCUCCAACCACGUGCCAGGCCCUGGGUUUGAUCCUCAGCAACACAU